GGGAAUAGCUCAGUUGGUAGAGCAUCAGCCUUCCAAGCUGAGGGUCGCGAGUUCGAGUCUCGUUUCCC
rnacentral:tRNA from 1 species